GCCGUCGCGCUCCUCAUCUCCACGUCCCUCUGCGCUGACGAGCACGGGCAGGGCUUCCCACCAUGGUUCCCUCCACGCCGACGCAAAGUAAGAAGGGAGUAGAAGGCCUGCCAAAGGAGAAUGAGAAUGAAGCUAUGCUGCUUGAAAAAAGAAAGAAUCUGCAGUCCUAACAAAGAACCUGAAACAACAAUCUGG